AUCCAGACUCCUACGGGAGGCAGCAGUGGGGAAUAUUGCACAAUGGGGGAAACCCUGAUGCAGCGACGCCGCGUGAGCGAUGAAGUAUUUCGGUAUGUAAAGCUCUAUCAGCAGGGAAGAAGAUGACGGUACCUGACUAAGAAGCCCUGGCUAACUACGUGCCAGCAGCCGCGGUAAUACGUAGGGGGCAAGCGUUAUCCGGAUUUACUGGGUGUAAAGGGAGCGUAGACGGCGAUGCAAGCCAGAUGUGAAAGCCCGGGGCUCAACCCCGGGACUGCAUUUGGAACUGUGUGGCUGGAGUGUCGGAGAGGCAGGCGGAAUUCCUAGUGUAGCGGUGAAAUGCGUAGAUAUUAGGAGGAACACCAGUGGCGAAGGCGGCCUGCUGGACGAUGACUGACGUUGAGGCUCGAAAGCGUGGGGAGCAAACAGGAUUAGAUACCCUAGUAA
rnacentral:rRNA from 1 species